AUCCUUUUGUGGUUCAUGAGCUCAUGUUUGUGUGAAAUGUUCCUCCCUCAGACUUUGUUACCACGUCAAUACAUUGCCCGUCUGAUG
ensembl:snoRNA